rnacentral:rRNA from 1 species
GAUGAACGCUGGCGGCGUGCCUAAUACAUGCAAGUCGAGCGAACAGACGAGAGUGCUUGCACUCUCUGACGUUAGCGGCGGACGGGUGAGUAACACGUGGGUAACCUACCUAUAAGACUGGGAUAACUUCGGGAAACCGGAGCUAAUACCGGAUAAUAUUUAGCUUCGCAUGAAGCAAUAGUGAAAGACGGUUCUGCUGUCACUUAUGGAUGGACCCGCGGUGUAUUAGCUAGUUGGUGAGGUAACGGCUCACCAAGGCAACGAUACAUAGCCGACCUGAGAGGGUGAUCGGCCACACUGGGACUGAGACACGGCCCAGACUCCUACGGGAGGCAGCAGUAGGGAAUCUUCCGCAAUGGACGAAAGUCUGACGGAGCAAUGCCGCGUGAGUGAAGAAGGUUUUCGGAUCGUAAAACUCUGUUGUAAGGGAAGAACAAGUACGCUAGUAACUGAACGUACCUUGACGGUACCUUACCAGAAAGCCACGGCUAACUACGUG